UGGUGAUAAUGAUUGGUUUUACUAAAUCUGACUUACUUCAUGUUAUGUGUAUCAAGCAGCAGAGUGAGUGUCACCACAAUUAUUAUUUUCUAUUUCCUUCUAUUUUUAAAUUGGAGAUAAUCUACAGUUACAGUAGAUACAGUAGUCAUGAGCAAAAAUGUUUGUACUAGUACUGCUGACAAGACAAGACAAGACGAGACAAGACAAGACCUAAACCGAGACCACCUCUUUUGGUAUUACCAAAUUUUUGUCAGGACCAAACACGGUGUGUGUGAGAGCACUCUUAGUAUAUUUGUAGUUUAAUCAAGUUUUGAAAAAUUUCUAGAAUGGUCAAGUACUUAUACCUGCUUCUGUUUCCUUUUCAGAUGGGGCUUUGUUGCCUCCUGGAUUUGGGCUGAAUUCAGUCUUGGAUGUGUUCUUUGCUUUUGGAGGACUCUACUUGAGCUUCACUUACUAAUGAAAUGCAGCAGCUUCACUGUAAAAGACUAAAAUGGACGUCCUAAGAGUUGUUUCCACAUGGUGUCCAACUCCCCCACCCACCAGUGGUCUGUUCGAUUAUGCCUGUCUGAAGUUUGGCAGACACCUGUGUUUGGACAUGGCCUCAAAAAGGUGUCAAGAGUUGGGUGGAAAAGAAAAAAAAAAGAAAAGACCAGUGAGAUUCUAAUGUGUCGCUUGCAGGUUUUGCCACUGCGCGUGCUGGGUUUGUUAUUUUGUAUUACACGCAUGUACGAAUGAAAAUGACAGAAAGGGAG
rnacentral:lncRNA from 1 species